AGUGAACGCUGGCGGUAGGCCUAACACAUGCAAGUCGAACGGCAGCACAGUAAGAGCUUGCUCUUACGGGUGGCGAGUGGCGGACGGGUGAGGAAUACAUCGGAAUCUACUUUUUCGUGGGGGAUAACGUAGGGAAACUUACGCUAAUACCGCAUACGACCUACGGGUGAAAGCAGGGGAUCUUCGGACCUUGCGCGAUUGAAUGAGCCGAUGUCGGAUUAGCUAGUUGGCGGGGUAAAGGCCCACCAAGGCGACGAUCCGUAGCUGGUAUGAGAGGAUGAUCAGCCACAAUGGAACUGAGACACGGUCCAGACUCCUACGGGAGGCAGCAGUGGGGAAUAUUGGACAAUGGGCGCAAGCCUGAUCCAGCCAUACCGCGUGGGUGAAGAAGGCCUUCGGGUUGUAAAGCCCUUUUGUUGGGAAAGAAAAGCAGCAGGUUAAUACCCCGCUGUUCUGACGGUACCCAAAGAAUAAGCACCGGCUAACUUCGUG
rnacentral:rRNA from 1 species